UGUCUCCACUAAUGAGCGGAGAGGGGUAAAACCUUCAAAGUAAAUUUUGUGGAUCAAGGUAUAGUGAUUAAUUGGAGUUCUAGUUCGUUUACUUUGAGAAAAUUAGAGUGUUUAAAGCAGCCUCUUGGGGCACUGAAUACAUUAGCAUGGGAUAAUAAAAUAGGAUCUUCACAAUAUAUUUUAUUGGUUUAAAUUGGAUAUGAAGAUAAUGAUUAAUAGGGACAGUUGGGGGUAUUCAUAUUGGGUGGUUAGCGGUGAAAUGCUCGGAUCCAUUCAAGAUGAACUAAAGCGAAAGCAUUUACCAAGGAUGUUUUCAUUAAUCAAGAACGAAAGUUAAGGGAUCGAAGACGAUUAGAUACCGUCGUAGUCUUAACUAUAAACUAUGCCGACCAGGGAUAUGAGUUGCUACGAAUAUACGCAAGUAUAUUCAAUUUCUUCUUAUGGACCUUGUGAGAAAUCAUAAGUUUUU
rnacentral:rRNA from 1 species